rnacentral:rRNA from 1 species
AGUGAACGCUGGCGGCAGGCCUAACACAUGCAAGUCGAGCGGCAGCGGGUCCCCGCGAGGGGAUGCCGGCGAGCGGCGGACGGGUGAGGAACACAUCGGAAUCUGCCUGGUUGUGGGGGAUAACGUAGGGAAACUUACGCUAAUACCGCAUGCGACCCUGAGUCGACGGACUGGGGGUGAAAGUGAGGGACCCUUCGGGCCUCACGCGACCAGGAUGAGCCGAUGUCGGAUAGCUAGUUGGCGGGGGUAACGGCCCGCCAAGGCGACGAUCCGUAGCUGGUCUGAGAGGAUGAUCAGCCACACUGGGACUGAGACACGGCCCAGACUCC